rnacentral:lncRNA from 1 species
CUUAGUUUUAUGUUUGAAUUUCUCCUAUAUGUUAGAUCAAUUACUUGAUUAAAUUAUUUUAUUAAUUUAACUAUUAAUCUGCCACACCUACAAUAUAUUAAUAUUAUUAGGAGUCUAAUGACUCUUCAAAGAUUUCUUUUUAAUGAAUCUAUAAAAUUGUAAUCUAAAUUUAGUCAAGGGUAUGACCGCUAUUUCAGAAUAUUCAAAGAACAUUUCUUUAUAAUAAGAUUUUCUGUAGCUUUCUUUCUUUAUUUUCUUCUUUUCUUUUCUCUCCCUCUUUCGUUUUUUUUUUUUUGUAUUAAGUACUGUCAAAGGGACACUGUUGAAUGUUUGAUUUUGAAUGGUCAAAAGAAUUUAUUAAGAUUCUAUCUUCUUCUUUUUUAAAAAGCAUGCUAAUAAUAUAAAAAGAGAGAAUAAUUGCCAUUGAUAAUAACCAAAAUUUACAACAAAAAAAAAGGGCUUCCAAAGGAAUUUUACCAUUUUAGUUUCUAUCUGAAUUACAUACACCAUUCAUAAAAAUUAAAAGGAUUAAUUUAUAAAAUCAUCUGAAAAGCAUUUUCAGCUCUUCAAUCCUUGCUGACCUAACUUCUUCAUCAGUUAAAGCACCUGCAAUCAUCUUCUCCUUCCUUGCUUGAACUUGUUGCAUCCUUUCCUCCACUGUUUCCUGGAUUUUAUAAUUGUUCAUUAAUGAAAAAUAAUAAUAAUAACCCAGAAAAGAACAUAUCAAUGUUUCCUAAUGUAACUCAAGAAAAAGAAUCCGGCAGAUUGACCUAAUCAACCUAGUAAAUUUCAACACAGACUGUUGAAUUAUGGGAUUUGAAAAAAUCCCAUCAUAGUUGUCAACUGUCAUUUUCAUAAACAAUGAAACUCACCUUAACUAUGAAUCUUCUAACACUAACUGUUCUCUUUUGUCCAAUUCGAUGAAUUCGCAUGAUUGCUUGUUCUUCAACUGCAGGGUUCCACCAAGGAUCCUACAAGGAUGAUUUUGUCAUAAAUUAAGACCAAAACGAUAAGAAUUUGACUCUUUUUGUUAUGUAAUGAAAAUGUAUAUACCAUUAAGAAGACAUUAGAGGCUGCUGUUAAAUUCAGGCCAACUCCACCAGCUUUCAAAGACAUCAAUAAUACCUACAAACACGAAAUAGAUUAAAGAAUGGAUUCGAUGAUAAAUAUAUAUAACUUGUAAUGCAAGGCUUACCAGUUUCUCUCUCGUGUCAUUGAACUCUUUUAGAACCCUUUCCCUUUGUUUUUGAGCCAGUUUCCCAUCAAACCGUAAGAAUCCAAUUCCUUUCCUCUUUAAUGGGAUUUCUAAGAGAUCUAGAAAUGAAGUCCAUUGACUGAACACAAUGCUCUUUUCACCAGAACCUGACCGGCAACUUCUCUCUAAGCAGUCUAAUAGCUUUGAAACCUUUGAUGACUCUUUCCAGUUUUUGUCUAUGUCAACUCGGAACUUGUUUUCAGUUGGACAUGUUAUGAGAUCAGUUUUCUUCAGUAGUGUUCUGCAGAUUGGACAUGAUCCUAGUGUUGGUGUUCGCCAACUUGAGAGGAGACAUUCCCUGCACAUCCUAUGUGCACAUGGUGUGAGGACAGGGUCAUCUGCAGAUUCCAUGCAUAUUGGACACUCUGUGUUUUCACCCCUCCGGAUACCAUCUACAACUUCUUCAAUGUAGGCCUUGGUUGGGGAAUUUUGAUUCAAAGUGACCAAACCAGGGUGAGCUUCAAGGAACCUUCUCGCUAGUUUGUUCAAGUCCGAAUACUGCUGCGAAUCAGCUCGACUGUGCACAUUUAAAGAAAGGUUAGGAGGGAAAGAAACUAAAGUUUCUGCACCAGUAAUAAGUUCAUGAAAUGCAUUUCUGACCUCAUUACAAGAAAAGGAUGGUUGCAACACUGCCUUAGUCGAAGUAAUAACUCGAGAAUUGAUGCAUAAUUGUGAAGAACCCUGCCUUGUGCAACAAAUUGAUCAAACUGAACCUGUUUAAAUCAAAUAGAGAUAUUUUAGCUUUCAUAUCAACUUACUCAACUCAAAAAACAAUUCAUGUAUAUAUGAUAAGGCACACAUACUUUAGAUCUUUUGAAUAAAGCAUCAUAGAAAUCACGUUCAGCUUCUGACUGCUCGCACUCGAUGACUUGAAUAUCAGUUGGAGGAAGAACAAGAAUAGGCCUUCCCUCUUUAUCCUUUGUUUCCUUUGUUCUUCUCAACAUCAGUAGCCUUAAUAUAGCUUUGAUCCAUUUCAGUCCUGUUGGAUUACCAUUCUCAUAAGGCCCUUGAAUCUUUGUCUUCCACCUAUAUAAAUCACAAAUGACAUCAUGAACAGAGAAAUACAUAGGACUCACUAGAUGAUACACAAUUAUUUGAACUUGUUUAUACCAUGCCCAGUUGCACCAUGGUUCCACAUGCAAGAAGCACAAAAGGCUGUAGAGGUCUUCCAAAUUAUUCUGCAGGAAACAAUGAGUAAGGGAAAUUAAGCACAUAGCUAUCAUGAAGGGGAAAGAAAAUGGACAAUGACAAAUAAGGCAAACCUGAAUUGGGGUUCCAGUGAGACACCAACGGCAAUGCGCAGACAAUGCAAAGCAAGCUCGAGCUCCUAGUGUUUUUGAGGAUUUAAUCGUAUGAGCUUCAUCUAAAACCACCCUAUACCAGUCAACCCUGUGAUAAAUGCUGUUCUCGGCAUCCUAUAUCAGAAUGUCCACAUAAUUCAGUCCAAAGAAGGAUAACUUAAAAUUUCAGAUAUGCAUCAAAAUAUUUAGGAGCAAAAACUCAGCUCGGCAUGGAAAAUAGCUAAAUAGAAUUAAGUAUUCUCUUACACUUUUAUAAGCAGCAGUUAAAACCCCGUAUGUUGUUAAGACCACAUCAUGCUCUGAGAUCACCCUGGGAUCAUUGGUUCUAUCACCACCAUAGUGAACAAAAAUUGAUAUCGUUUCAGGCCUUGAGUGAGUCUCAAGCUCAUCCUGGGAUUUCACUAGAACUCAUUACAUACCACAUAAAAGAGGUCAACCUAUAAUCUCUUUCUCUCAGUGCAAAAUGGAAUGAGAAAUCACCUUCCACUGGCUUAACAAUGCCAUGGGACAAAUAAUAAGAGUGCCUCCCUUUGCUCUGCGUGGGGCAUUUCCAUAAGUGUCUCUUUUCUUGUUUGUGGUUAUGCUACCAUCUGCUUUUCUCGAAUCAGGCUUUUCAUUAUCAGGAUUUCCUCUACCAAGUCUUGAAAGGAUUAGAGCUAUUGUCAUCACAGUCUUUCCGAGACCCAUUGCAUCAGCUAGAAUCUGCAAAUAUACUUGUUUUGUUAGAUUUUUUUAAAAAAUACUAUCAUAGCCAAGACCAUCCCAAUCAAAAAGAAUUUAAAAAUAUAUAUAAUCUGAGAACAAAUACUUACUCCUCCUCUUGCCAUUUGCCUAGCACUUGGAAAUUGAACUGUAGCUUCUCCAGAGAAGACAUUUACAUAGAUUGAGGAACCCCUUCUGCUAGAAAGAAUGUGUGGUCAAGUUACAAACUACUUCACUAAUUGGCUAAAUGCUUGAUCAAAUUUCACUAUUAUAACAAAUAUACGUACUCAUCGCAUAUGCGAUAUGCAGACCAGCAUGGAUGAAGAGUUUGUGCAGCUUUCUCAGCAUCAAUUCCUUUCUCCCACCCAGACAUCCAGUAAAGAGCUUGCUUCUGAUACGGCCUCAACUUGCACAUGAGUGUAUGUGGGGGCUCCAUUUCCUAAAAGUAUGCAAAAGAAUGAGGAAACAUAGAGAAGACUUUGUUAAUAAAUUCUGAAACUAGAUGCUUAGAAGAAAUUCCUUACCUCCAAAUCGUAUGUGUCUGCAGCACCAACAAUCUUAUUCAAAGAUGCCUCUGAAAUAUCUUGUUCAUCUUUAUUCUGCUCCUGACAACCCCUUCUUCGUUUUGCUGCAGGCAAAGCCGCUGUAACUUCACUGUAACCAUCCUGUUAUAAUCAACAAAAGUUGUCAACUUUUUACAUGUUUGUCAAGCUCAAACACCAGUGAACAAAGCCAAUGUGCAACUAUGGUUAAUCGGUAUGCAUUGGUAUCUAAAACAACAUAAUAACUACUCAACCUUAAAGGCUCACAGUACAUUGGUUGAGCAAUGAAACUCGAAUCAAUGGUGAAGAAUGCCAUUUGCAGCAUAACUUGAAGUAUAAACAAUACAUAAAACUCACUAGAGGACAACUAAUUAUCCAUGAACAUCCAAGCAAAACCUACUGCAUUAUGAAGUUAAAGCUUUAACAACCAACAUUCAAAGUUACAGAGAAAUUACACAUACUUCUUGGAUAUGGAGAACACGCUUCCCAGAAUUAAGUUCUUCUGGAGUGAAGUCAGCCUGAUAUGGAGCAACAAAAACAACAGAAAUGACAUAAGAACCACAAAACAACAUUAUAGCAAGAACCAUAAAGUAUCAUCAUAGAGGGAUACCUUCUGAUAUGGUUUUAUUUUAAGGUAUCUAAAUAGAUUAAGCAAAGGACUAAGCAUAGACUCCAUGUUCCAAGGUGCAUCAAACAUCAAGGAAGAUUUAUCACCCAUUGUAAAUACUGAACUGUGAAUGUACAAGCUGACAAACAUAACAAAACAGGGAAAUUUAAUCAUCCCCCUUUAUUUAAAGCAACAUAUUACAAUCAAUAAGAAAAAGAAAAACCAAAACUUUACCUUACAAAUAACAUGACUUCUUGCAUGAUACUAAGUGUUGUAGGAGCAGCUAUACACCGACCAAGAACUUUAACCUUGUUAGAAUAUACAAGAGGAUUCACCCAUUUUGCCCAAUCCAUUGGAAGCCGACCAAUCUAUUAUUCAAUAACAACAAAAAAAAAGACUAAAUAAACAUCGUUCUUUUUAAUCGAAUAAGGUACAAAUUAAGUUCAACUUGAAUAAACUAACCUCUCCACAACGUUUAGUGGAGAAUCGAACAAAGGAUUGAAGCUUGUAACUGGAUACUGGAGAAGGGAAAGUGAAGUAAACAAUCUCAUUGUCCAACAAUUUGUUCUUCCCUUUAGUUGUUGAAACAGCAUUAACUAUUGUUCUUCCAACUAAAUACCAAUCUGGGUCUUCAGGAAAAUCCUCAUCUUCUACUAAAACACCAUUCACUUUCCUCUCUUGAGAAACCUCUUUCUUUACAUCGACCCGUUUUUGUGACCACUCAAAAUCAGGCUCCUUUUUCACGCAUGGAGGGUUUUGAUUGUUAGAUUUUAACUCAGCAGUUUCACUGGCCUUUUUUUUAAUCUGGGUUUUGCGAGACUCAUUAAGAGAUUGAACCUUAGAGUUUUGUAACAGGAGAAACUCUUCAAAAGUAUCCAUUGGCCAUGAAUCUUCCUUCUGGGCUACUGUUUCCUCUGUUUGAUUAAAACCCAUUUCUCCCUUCACUCGAACUUCAUUCCCAAACCCCAAACGAGGCUCCUCUUUCACUUUAAUCACCUUAUCUUCUUUCAUGGAAGCGUCACUGUCAAACCCCAAAUCAGGCUCUUCCUUCAGUCUCAAAAGUGGCUCCUCCUUUACUAUGGCCUGAACUGGUUCAGAUUCUCCAAACUGAUCGCCUGAGCCUAUCAGGGUAGAAACACGAAACCCGGUCGCAGUUACCAUUCGACUAACGGUAUUUGCAUGAAGGUUUGAAUCAGGGUCGUUAGGGAGCAACUUAACGACGGAAACAACGUUGUUAUCCAUGGAUGAUUGGAUUUCUUGAAUCUUCUUAUCUUCUACUGUGUCUAUAUCCAUGGCUUUCAUAUCUGAUUAACUUAACACAGAAGAAGAAGAAGAAAAAGAAAUAACUGAGAAAUGGAAAUGAAAAAAUGGAGAGGGGGGGAUUUGGGAGGGUUUUGGUAUUGCAUUGAAAAUAAGUUUGGCGCGAAACUUUUUUACCGCGUUGGGAUAUUCGCGGUUAUUUUUUCAGGAAGUUUUAGGCGCCAAAAGGGUGGGUUAAAAAGGGUAAGAAAAUUUUACUUUAUGCUCUUGCCAAAUGGAGCUUAACUUUACCUGAUGGCGUCGACUAAAGGGCCUAACAAAUUAUAUAUUAACAUAGAAAACAUAGAAAAAUUUACUAUGGCUUGAAAAGUGCUUUUGAAAAAUACUGUAGAAAAAUAUAUUUGAGAAGUACUUUUAAAAAAUUUGGGUGUUUAAUAUUGUUAUCAAAAAGUACUUUUGAAGAAUAAAAUGUCCAUUUUAUAUAUUAUAUUAUAAAGUAACAAAUAUGUAUUUAAAUAAUGUUAAAAUUAGUUAAUAUUAUGAUAUUUUAGCAAAAAUAUAAAAAAUAAUUUAUUAUAACUUAUUGUUAACAUUUUAAUAUAUAAUAUUAAUUUUAAAUAUUUUUAAUUAAUUAAUAUUAAUUAUUUAUUAAAUUUAAUUAGAAUAUAUAAACUAUAUUUAAAUUAUUUAAAUAUAAAAAUUAAAUAUUUAUAAUUAGAUAUUGACACAAUUGUAUUAUUAUAAAAAUUAUUUUUUAUUUUUAUGCUUUUAACACAUUUGUAUUAUUUUAUUUUAAAAUGUAUUCGAAUAUAUAACUCAUAUUAUAUAUUAACAUAACAUAGAAAACAUAAACCUAACAAAUUAAAAUAUUACAUAUAUUUGGAUUAAAAAUUUAAAAAGAGAUAAUAUUUAUAUACCAAAUAUAAAUACUAAAAAUUUUACAAUAGCAUUUACAAUUUGAAGUGAAUUCAUUAAAUUAAAAACUAUAGCAUCUCUUGUUAAUUUCAUUUCAAAACUACUUGAAUUGUUUGAUUCACCGUCAUCAUCACCAUCAUCAUCGUCAUCGUCAUCAUCAUCACUUUCUCGACCAUGCGUAUUUUCUGAAUCAAUAAUAUUCUCAUAUGCUCAGUUAAUAUAUUCGUAUUCCAUAAAAUCUACAUCAUUUCGACCAACAUGUUUUCGGAUAAAAUUGUGUAUCGUCAUUGUAGCAACAACAAUCAUCGUUUGCUUUUCAAAACUAUAACUUGACAUAUCCCUUAAAAUGGCCUAUUUUUUUUUCAAAACACUAAAAGUUUGUUCAAUCACACUACGUAAUGAUGAAUGUGAAUGAUUGAAUUCUCCACUCUUUAAAAAAAACAAUAAAAAAUGAUACAUUAGGAUGUUCUUUUAACCUUAUAAAUUAAAAAAAAAAUUAUACUCGAUAAUAUUAGCAUUUUAUUUUUUAUGUUGUAACCAUCCUCACAUCACAUCUGAAUUUUGAUAUUAGAAGAAGCUCCUUAACUGAUGAUUGACAGACACACUACGAUCGAAUUUAUAAAAACUUCUUCAAGUACUGUGAGGGAUAGGAGAGCCUCCUAUAUAGUCCAAACUCCAUUUAAACAUACUUGUGCUACUUUCCUUAGGAGAUAUGUAAACUUCCCAGGCAUCAACUCCAAAGUAACUGUGCCUAAUGUAUUUGUAAAUGUAAUUCAAAAUACCCAAAGGAAUAACAUAAUACCUGCAAAGUAAUUAUUGUUGGCAAUUUAUUUGGGCAUAUAAGCCUCAUUAUCAUCAAAUUGUGCUAUGAUUAUAAUGGUAAUAUAAUUUACGUCAUAAAAAGAAUGAGCCACAGGUGUAACUAACUUCAAGGUUGUCUCAAUGCUGUCCAGAAAACCAGAUCAACGGUACAAAACACAAAGAUGUAUGCAAUGACAUCUAAAAGGGAGCAAGAGGAUAUAGAGGUAGUUGGCAGAGAAAAGACACCCUUUUUCAACCAUAAGGUUAGUCUCUUCUCUUUUGGUUAGUGCUUUAACUUUCUAAUUUAUUUGGGUGAAAAUUUAAAUUAGAUAAUAGAAUAAGAAACAUAAUUUCUACAUAAAGAAACUAGAAAUGUCUUAUGUUAAAGACUGUUCUAAUUGCAUGUUAUAACUAAUAUUGUAAGAGUAUGAUAUGACAAUGCAAAAAUGUAAUAAAUAAUAGUAAAGCAUAAAUGGUAACGGAGACUAGAGGUUGCUUAUACAGUACAUCAUCGGCCUUGAUGAAAUUAUCACCUUACAAGUUUUACAGCCAAGGUUCUAAUAGAAAUCACCUAAUAUGAGGGACAUUUAGAAUUAGCCUUUUGAAAUUUGUGUAAUUCUCCAUGUCAAUUUCUAGAAUUCUUUGAGCAGUAAAAUAAGAAUUUCAUUCCUUAAGAAAAGAUAAUUCCUUAAUCUUGAGGAAAAAAAAAAGUCUGACCACUAAUUAUAUAAUUGUUUUUAAUGAUAAUUCAAAUUGUUUUGUUUCUAUUAGUUGAACUUCAAGUCUAUCAAUCACAUUAAUAACAAAUUCUUUAGCAUUCAUUAAUGAGUGUAUGUAUUUAUCAUCACAAACAUGCAUAAUUCAGGCAAUGAGGGUUGUGUCUGCAGGUUUUGUGUGCCAGGUUGCGGCACUUGGAACUAUCAUCAACUAACAUCAAAAAACUAUGGCCUGAUAAACCAGACAGGGCUAUAUCCCCUGGCGUUCUCAACUUACAAAUCUAAUUUUAGGAGGGCUAGAUAGUCAAUUAGUUUACCGAUUGAGGAGAAUACAAUGCAGAUUUUGAAUGCUGUUAAGUAACAACACCAUGAAGAGUUCAGGGUAAAUGAAGCAAGAGGGUACAACAAGCUUGAAAGGGUACCUCAAAGUCUAUGGAAUUCGAGCCAGUAGCACAUAUGGUAUACGAGCAUAAAUGUAAAAGCUGCACAUAUCCUAGAGGAAGCAAAAAUGCCGGGUAAACUGCUAAAAAUAGCCAUAGUUGAAAUCAUUUGUCUCAAGAAAUACCAGCUUAAGUAUCAACAGCUAUAGAUGAGCAGAGGAAAUUAAGAAGCUUCUACCCUACGCAUUAUAUGCUUGUUUAGGACCUUUAUUCCAGUUCUUCCAUAAACACAUUCCUCAACCAUAUACUAUCAUAACAGAAUCUAAUUCACAGAUGAGGCAGAUAAAUGGUCAUAAACUCACAUAUUUGAAGCAAUUUAUGUCCAACCUAGGUAUCAUCCCUAAGAGUAUUUUAUAACAAUGAAGCAAAAGAGGCAUAAAAGCCAAAAUUUUCCUUUUUUUUUUUCUUCUGUUGGAAGAGUUAACAUGCGGAAGAGGAACUAAAAAGCAACUAAAAACAAAGCAUAAUGAAUAAAUAAAGAGAAGAAGAAGAAAAGAAACUACCUGCGGGAGAGGAAUAAAGAACAGGAAAGAGCUUUGAAAGCGAAAAUAUGAAAAAAAAAAUGGGUAUACAGCUCCAAAGAACCUACAACAGAGGAAAGAACGUUUAACCAGGUUAAAAAUGUCAAUUAUCAGCCAAAAGUACUUCAACAGAAAAGGAGAAAUUUUUAACUUCUUCAUCUGGAGAAAAGGACUUUUCUGAUAGAGAAAAUUUUUUCUGAAAUGGUACUUUUUAUUGCAAAAGUCAUUCUAAAAAGCAAAGUAGAACGGGGCCUAAGACGGAUUUAUAUAGAAAGUAACUUUUUUAUUUGGUAAAAUUUUUGAAAAAGAAAAGGUAUUUUUUUUUUAUAAUAUCAACAUGAGAAAUCGAAUAAAAAAACUACAUUUAUAUGAAUUUAAAUUAGGGUAUCAAAUUAAAUAUUUAAAAAAAUGUUGAAAAAAAUAUAUUUCUAUAUUUACGUGGGUUUGAAUCCUUACUUUCAUCAUUUUAGUUUUGUUAAACAUUUUUAGUAAUAACAAUGUAAAAAAAAAUAUUUUCUUUUCUAAUUAUCACAUAUUUUUGUUUUUGUUUUCCAAAAAUUCAAUCAAACACAUUUGCUUUAAUAUUUUUCAUUUUCCAAAUGUUUAAUAUUAUAUUCGUUGCUUUAUCUUUACACAAACAUUUAGAUACUAAACUUGCAAAUUAGUUUAAAUUUGGAUUAUUCUCUUUGUUUGUUUGUUUGAAGGGACAAUCGUAAGAAUUGAUACUAAAUUUGGAUUAUUAUUAUACGAGUUUAAGCCAUUGGUGUUGAAUUUCAAAAUCAUUUUCUGCUAAUCUUUGGCGCGUAAUCACUUCUGAGAGUCGAAACAAAGAGAAAAAGAAAAACAUGGAGAUGGAGUCUCAAAACUUGGGGCACAUACAUCCAUUGGUGUUCAAUGAAGAGCAGAGCCAUGAAACCAAAAAAGCUAAAUGCUCAAGGUGUGGAGAGGUGGUGUCCGAUCCAAGCUUCAGUUGUGGGGAGUGUGAAUUUUCUCUUCACAAAGAAAUGCGCCGAGGCACCUUCAAAGAUUGAUCAUCCUUAUCAUCACCAUCACCCUCUUGUUCUUUUACCAGAAUCACCAUAUGGUGGAAGCUGUUAUUGUGAUUUCUCCUAUAAAAGAUGUGACUUCUUUGUUUAUCACUGUUCUUGUGGAUUAGACUUCCAUAUCAAAUGUGCUUUAUUUACCCUCAACAUUUCUGAACAAAAGCUUCAAGAGCUUAACCACAUAGCCACGAAAGAUCCAUCCGUCUUCCUAGAAGACGGUAACGAAGAGCUUGAAAAUGCUGUGUGUUUUGGGUGUUGGUUACCAUUAGGAGAGUCUAGAUACUUUUCUGUUGCUUGUGGGUUCAACCUGCACAUUAAAUGUGCUGAACUACCUCAUGAAAUCAACCAUCCAUUUCACAAAGAACAUCCUCUUGUUCUGCAGUUCAACAUUAAACGUUUCUCUUGCAAAAUAUGUGGAGAAACUCGGCAUAGGGGAUUUCUUUAUUGUUGUUCAGCUUGCACGUUUGCCCUUCACAUUAAAUGUGCCGAGCAACCUACUUUGGUAGACAUCCUCUUGUUCCAUAACUGAACAGUGGAAAUCUACUUUGCAAGACAUGUCAAGAAACCCAACAUGAAGAGUUUGUCUAUUGUUGUUCAACUUGCAACUUCUCUCUUCAUACUGAUUGUGCAUUCCUACCACCUAUUAUGAAAGAUAAAAUUCACCAACACCCAUUCACUUUGUUUCAGGGACAACCUUCGUUCGUUUGCGCAUGUGGUCUCGAGGGAAAUUAUAUUGCCUAUAUAUGUUCUACAUGCAACCUUAUGAUCCAUACAAAAUGUAUUUCAAUACCACCUAUCAUCAGAGUCAGACGACAUUACCAUCCUAUAUACCACAACUAUUUCAUUUCAGAAAACGAGUCAAAAAUUCGGGAUUGUAGCUUUUGUGAUGUUGAAGUGAACAUAGAUUAUGGGAGUUACUAUUGCUUACGCUGCAAUUUCAUUGCCCAUGUGAAAUGUGCAACAAAAUACAGAGAUCGUUACUAUAUUAUUGAAGCAAAGGACAUAGCUGGGAAACAUGAUGAUGAUUUGGGUGUUAAUCCCAUCACUUGUGUCAUCGAACAAAAUGAAGGUGGAGAAAUGACAAGAAUAAAACACUUCAGUCAUGCACAUGACCUAAUAUUAAGUGACAAUGUCAUGGAGAAUGAUAUAACUUGUGAUGGUUGCAUGUUGCUAAUUUUGGAUUCAUUUUACUGUUGUUCAUUACAGUGUAAUUUCUUUCUUCACAAAGCUUGUGCUAAAUCACCGAGGAAGAAACACCUCUGGUUUCAUGGCUGUCAAGAACUCCACAUCCUUGUCGUCGGCUUCCUAUUCAAAUGUAGUAUUUGCGAAUAUGAUUGUGGCGGGUUUUCCUAUAAAUGUAAUAAAUUUAAUGUUCAUAUUUGUCUUCAAUGCUCGGUUAUUGAUUAUAGGACCAAACAUCCAGGACACCAGCACCCUAUCCUCUAUAAUCGUAAUCAGCAUGGAAGGUGUAAUGGUUGUGGUGAAACUUGGAGAAGUCAAUUUAGUUGUAAGCAUUGCCAUUUUAAUUUGGAUUUUGAUUGCUCAAGGCUACCGCUUUCAACUCGACACAAGCGCCAUGAACAUCCACCUGCACUCACUUAUCAUGAAGGUAAUGAUUAUCCAAAAUAUCAUUACUGUGACCUCUGUGAGAAAGAAAGAGAUCCAAAUCUCUGGUUUUACCAUUGUGCAAUUUGCGAGUUUUCUGCUCAUCCCAACUGUGUUCUUGCAAUCUACCUGUUCAUCAAGCCUGGAAGCAUGUACAAAGGAAAAGACCACCCACAUCCUCUCACUUUUGUAUGGAAGCCUUAUCGUUACAUUGUAUGCGGUAAAUGCAGUGAACCCUGUGAAGCUUUGGUUCUUGAAUGUGCAGAGCCUACAUGCAAUUAUGUUGUCCACUGGAAAGAUGUGAGACCUCCUAGCUUCGGUUUUACGAGCCCGGUUGAACUUUAUAAAGCUGAAGCAGAUGCUAUCACUCAUGACGGUUGAACAACAAACGUUUCAAUCAAUAUCAAAAGCAAGGUAUGAUGUGUUGCUUCACUAAUUCUGUAUUUCAAUAUAUAUAUUACUUCUAUUUUCAUGAUUUAGCUUUGAUAUUUUUCGAGUCAAAAUUGCCCAUCACAAACUGAUUCUAUCCAUAUAAAAGCUAUAUUUUAGUAUGGAUUGAGCAGCAGCUUGAAUCAUGGUUCAUCAAUGAUAUUUAAAACCAAUGCUGCCACGGGAGACUUCAAUGCCCAUUAGCUUCAAUAUUCAUGAUCUUAUAGAUACACUUUUUUUUAUUACAUUUUUCGCAAGGUUCAAUGGGAAUGGAACAAAAUGGAUGAUUGGACUGCAAGGACAUGAUUGGGGUUGCAAUUUAUGUUUGACGAUUGCCGGUUUGUUACCAUAUUUGUGAAACAAAUAAACAAAAUGUAUAGGUUGUUUCAUUUUCAAAAUAAUAAGUCACAUCCCUUAAAUGUGACAACUGUUGUAUUUGUUUAAAAGAUUGUUUAUUUAAUUGAAAGUUGGGUAAACUUUUACUCAUAUGUAAUAUUGAAGUUGAUCUCUAGUUUGCGUUAACUUCAAUAUUUUUUUAUAAACUACUUUAAUAUUGGCACCCACCAAACGAGGGUGGGCGUGGCAUAUUUAGCCGACCGACCCUUUUCUACUAUUGGGCUCUUUACUCCAUCUGGGAGCUUUCGCAUUAUGAAGCUACGUCACUCAUAUUACCAUCUCAUUAACAACCAUGGCAGCUCAAAACUAUGAAGAGAAAGAAAGGGGUUUUGAGGGAACAGGAUGUUAGAAUCGAUCCAACAAAAGUUAUCUGAAAAUUAGUGAUACAUGCCAUACAAAGUUGAUGAUGCAUCGCAUUCUAGUUUGUAUUGAUUAUGCUGAAGAUUCUGGACUGCAAACUCCCAUGGAUAUACAAGUUUCUUAAAACAAAAACGAACCCCGCCAAGGAGCAGCAGUAUGUGUUCUAAUAGACAAGUGCUUUUCUAAUCCCAAACUGCAGUCAACUAGUCACUUGCUCCUGAAAACGACAAAAUGAAGAACCAUUGGCAUGUCUCAGUAGUUUCUAGACAGCUACAGUGUGUGGAUUAGGAACUUAAUGCCUUGUUUACUUUCCAAGAGAAAUAUCACCUUCAACCUUGUAGAUGACCACUGGUUUUAGAGAAGUUUUCACCUAUCUACCAGCUUCUACGAAUUUAUGUAACACAUUGCCUGUGCCUGAAGAAAAUAAGAAUCCUUGUAUUUCCUGCCACUCCCGAUGUGAAUCCCAUUCCGGAUCCAGUCCUCUCGAUGUACCCAUGCAUCCCGCCCAAAAUCUAGGACUCCAAGGAUCUGUAAUAAUCAUCAUGGUAUAAGCAAACAUUUCAAGUAAGCUUAAUCUAGAGUCUAGACUAGCUAACACAACACAAGGAACUAGCAUAAAAAGCUAACACAACAGUUAACCUAGUCUCUAUGCUAGUUACAUAUAAAUACAGUAAUUCUGGUCCCGUACUUACCGAUGUAAAUAUCAAAAAAACCUCACUCUCAUGAAGAUAUUGCAUAAGCAAAUUCAAUGAACAAAUGCAUUUGCAUUGUACCAAAAACAAAAGAAACCCAAACAUGGAAGAAGAAAAAGGAUGGAAGAUGACUUACAGCUCCGCCUUUCCAGGACACAAAUGUUGGAUUCGUUCUUGAUUGCAAAACCUAUUUCACAGGUGAGAUCCAAGAAUACCAAAACCAUCAUCCGUAAUUGAAAAAAAAAAAAAAACUAACCAUACGUAAGCAAAAGGAAACCCAAACAACGUUGAACCUAAUUCAAGUAUAAAGCUAACUUCAACUGAUCAUGAGAUACGUUAGACAUAAAAGAAUAAAUUUUUUUUCUUUGAGUUACAAUACAAAGAGUUAAAUCUAAAUGUCUUUCGACCCUACAUAUUCCUUUUGCACCAAUUGUUAUGUCCAGAGCAACAUAACUCACUGAACAGGAAUAUUAAAAUUAAGUUCAUCUAAACAUCAAGAUUAGAAAAUAUACUCGAAUUCUAACCAUAUUGAAGUGGCCACAAUCUAGUGCAAAAGACAGAUGUAGCAAAAUUUUAACGAAUAUUAAAAUCAGGCAAGACUUACCUCAACAGUAUGAAUUGCUUCAUUUGAAGGAAUGGUUUGUAAGACUCUGCAAGCAUAUAAAAAAGAAGAAACAACGAUGGUCUGGUGAAAUGAUUGCACACAACUUUAAAAAACACUAAGAAAAUGUUCACCAUUAUGGAGACCAGAAAAAAUUGGAUCUCAAUAUUAACUUGCUAGUUACCCACUAAUCUAGAAGAAUUAUUACCAAUUUCUUGACGGUCAAUGAAUGCAAUUAAUGCAUUCUUAGUCAACACUGCCUAUAGAGAACUAGGGACUUUGGGCUAACCCAUGUAAGUGCUAUUCAAGCCUUAUACAACAACUUUUGCAGGCAAGGAUCCUCGUAGUUAGCUAUAAUGCUGGAUUCCCAAUUAAUGCAUAUAUUAACUGCUAUUUGCAUAAAGUAGGAGGACAACAAAGGGGGAAAGGAGAGAAACCAACCUCUCUUCCACAGCAGGAAUUAGCCCACCAGUUAAAGCCACUCCACCAAUCUGAAGCACAAAACAAUGUUAAAAGUUACAGUUUUUAAUAAAUAAAAGCAUAUUGUCUUAAGAAUCUCACCAAUUGUAUGCUACAAAACAAUUUUCUUUGCAAGUCUAUGCGACCUGUCAAUUGAACACAGCUAAUAAGUUAGAUUUGAAUGGUACUAUAGCUUAUUUGAAUGUGCUAAAUUAGCAGUGUGCAGACAUACCAGUUGAAAGAAUACUGCUGGUUAUGGCUUCUGCUAGGCCAACCUUCUCUUCUUUCUUAGGUUUCAUUGAGACAAAUGGAUAGUUAUCCCACAUUUGUAAACCAACAUUACUGCCAGGAUAAAGACCGUCUGGCAUGUCAGAUCUUCUUGGGAAUUCAAUAUGCCAUGUUUCUUCCAGCAUAUCUUCAUAGUCAUGAAACCUGGUGAAGCACACCAUCAAAAUAGCCCUACAGGAAAUAAUUUAAAACUACUCCCAAACUUGAACAAGUAUUACUAACCAAGAACGGGGUGGUGGAGGAUAUAAAUCAGGAAUCAAAAGCGUUGGGUAGAACAAACCCAUAGGAGGAACCUACUUAAAAUGAACCAUCAAUAGUAAAUCCUUCAAGAGAAGAAAGGAAAUGAUAUCUAAGUUAAAACAUACAUUCAGAGCAGUUAGCCUCGUCUUAUGAGAUCCUGCAGGCAUGGCAUCCUCAUAAGAAUGAACUACAGCAAUAGCAUCAAGUUCACCCUCCUGUGCAACAGUGCAUUGAGAAAGUGCAAUAAGAUUAUUUCCACAGCAAAUAAACCUAAGAAUACCAGGUCCAGGAGCCAAAUGAUUCACCUUGAUUUCACAGUAGGACUCUUUUAACCUGUUCAGCAUCAAUAGAUCUAUAGGCUUUGUCAAAAUAUCAGUACGAAUUUGUGGCCAUGUCUGAUGGUGCCUCUGGGUCCAAAGAAGACAUCUUGAUAUAUCCUGGAAGAGUAAAUACAAAUGAUGAAAUAGCCAACAAAAAGAAACGUACAUUGACAAACAUUCAAUAAUGAAGCUUCUUCCUCUGCAUGAAGAAAGCUGAGAGGCAGAAAGAAUGAUGAGAAUUCAAACCUCUCCACCAAAUGGUAAAGUCUUCUCUGUAUUAGGUAGAGCCACUCCAUCCUGGCACAUAAUAAGAGUUCUUAGUAGAGUAAGACCGCAACACUCUCAAAUUAGUCAUUUCCCAGUUAUGCCACAAAUAAUAGAACCAAGCAUGAAAUCAAUAGAAAAAGACUAAUUUGCGAGUAGAGUAUUCCCUUCAACAGAAGAAAAAGAAUGAAUGUACACAAAUUAUAAUAGAUAUCUAUUUGAAUUUUGUAUCAGUUACCUCAAUGCAAAUAACUGAUGAUACUUGAGCACCCAAAUUUACAACACACGCCGUUGAUAAUCCGUUCCCAAAAACUGCUGCCAGGCCUUCCUGAGAUAAUCAUAUUUGAAGCAAAUAUUACACAAUGAGUGAUUUUCUACUUAGACAUUUCUACUGGUAAAGCUGGAAAAAGGAUCUAAUGAGAUAAUCAGUAAGACAGAAAAAAUACACUAUCAAGACAGGAUACCUGUCAUCAGGAAGGUUUUUUUGCUUAUAAAUUUGAGUAUUAUAUGACAUAGACACAAAAGUAAUGCUGGUAUCGCAACUUGAUCCACGUUUGCAUCUAAAAAAUAUGAGAUAAACUUCUCACCUGGUGUACCACUGCUGAGCUAAAGCGCAAAUCUCGCAGUAAAAUAGAUAAGAUUUCCUUUAUCUCUGCUUGCAAAACCCAUAAAAUUUGAAGUUACAAAACAUUCCAUAUAGUAAGAGUGAGGAAUGAUCUUACUGACACACGUAUAAACUGGAUCUGGAACUUUUACCACAAAUACAUAGUACAGAAUCAAAGGGACGAGACUUGCUACAAUUAGAAAACAAUAAUCAAUUUUUACAUACCACGAUUAUCAAAUGUCUCUGGAACAACAAGAAUAGCAGAAUAUAAGCUCCUUUCUUGGUGAGGGAUAUGCAAUUUCUCUAACAAAAUCCAGUCCCAUAGAGCAUGCAGAUCUUCAAGGACCUGCAAAAUGAUAAAGUAAGUUUAAGAAAGUAGAUUAAUUGUCCUGUUUUUAAAUAACAGUGCAACUAUCUCAUAUUUAAGUUGUAUUAUCUCAGUGUAAACAACAUACUGAGCAGGAUCAAGAUAAUUCAAUAUUUAAUUGCAGUGAUGUGAUUUGUUAGACCCUAAAAGGAGAAAUAACAAGCACAUUGCUUCAAUAUACAAAUGUUGACAAGAAUAUUGACAGGACCUGCUGCAUGGGGUAAUGUUGUGAAAUAUUUAGAUGACCUCUACGAAUAAGACGCCUUAAGGAGUAUGGCUCAGUGGGAGAUAUCCUUAGUGCUUCCUCACCAAAUAUGACCUCCCUGAACUUGAGUUCAGCCAAAGUAGGUUCCUUCGAUUCAGUACCUUCAUUUUGAACCAAGGACUCAGCUAUGACACUUUUAUCUGAUGAACUUUCUGCACAACCAAUAUCCAUGUAUAAGAAGCUCAAAGUGAAACUAGAGAAAUUGAACUCACAGAUCCAAAGAAUCCGCCUAGAAUUAGAAGCAAUAAAGGUGCAACACAAUACUUCAUAGAUCCACUCAACCACAAGUAAACUUGAUAAGUAGGCACAAGGCAAAAAAAUUGGAAUUUCCAAUCACCUUGUGGCACUGAUGAAUUUAGGUCCUUCACAUGUGUAUCAGUCCAAGUGAAGGCUCCAUCCUUCCUUGUAUUCUGAGGAUUAUACCCAUCAACACGUCCCAUCUGCUUAUUACCUUAAGAGAUUUAGCACUACAAGCUCCAAUAAGUCAAUAGAUAGCUACCACUAGUGGCCAUACUUAGCUUCAGCUUAAAAUCCUUACCUUUCGUGGAACAGAAUUAUUGGCAACCUCUUCAUCAAGGAAAGGUAUCUUCAACAACGACGCAAUCUUUCAAACAAACAUUGAAUUCCAACUUGGAUUACUACAUAAAACAAGUUGACAUUAAAAAAAAUGAAAGCCAACAUGAACACACUCAUGACUCACCACAUCAUAUGCCUUUUCCCGCUCCAUAUGCUGCGCUGUGGUAACUUGAGAAUUAAGCAACUGAAAAAGAAGAAGAAGAAGAAGAAUCCAAAAUUUCAUCCAAACAAAUCCCAAAUGAAAAACAAGUGAAAAAUAAGGGGUGAGAUAUAGUUAAAAAAGAGGGGUGAACCUGAUCCUGAACAUUUAACUUGGGUAACUGGUUGCUGCGACGAGCAAUGCAAUGAGGAAUGCUAAAAGGAGAGUCUUGCUUAGCUAACCCUACUCUAAUAUUUGCAGAACCUAAGCAAAAUUAACAAGCAAAUUAAUCCAUCACCCGAGUUCUGUAAUUUCAAAAUUUGGAGGAAAAUCGUUAAAAAAGGGAGUUACCUGGGUUGAUGACGACGAGAUUAGAGCCACGUUCAGCGAGGAGUUGAGAAGGAACCACUGUUUUCAAAUAAUCCUGCAAAAACCCAAAACGAUUAGUGUCACAAAAGAUGGAAACUUUCGAAAAAUUUAUGAACUUUCUUUUUGGGAAUAUGAUUAGGGUUUCUUGGUUUCAACUACCAUGAGAAAAAUGAAAGAAUGAGCUUUCCUUCUCUUGAAGAAGUUUUCAGCUUAAUAUUAUUUCUUCAUUCACUUUGUUUUCUGUUUCACCUUGAAACCCACUGCGAUUUUCCCAGUGUUUUAUUUCGAAGCGUAAAGGACCUGGAAACGAUGACGUUUUACGUUGUGAAUGUUCUUUUCUUUCAUUUGAUAUUAAAAACAUAUAAUUUUAAAAUAUACUAACUUUUAAUUUUUAUACAUUUGUGAUGUAGUUUUUUUUUUAAUUUAUUUUUAAUAAUAAUUCACUAUUUUUUUAAUUUUAAAAAAAAUUAUAUUUUUAUAACACUGGAAAAUAUGAAUUAAAUCAGACCAUUAAAUUGAAUUUUAAAAAAAUAUUAAACUGAUACAAAUUAAUUAAAUUCAACGAUUAUAUCGUUUUUAUUUUUUAUAAAUUUUUAAUUAUUUAUUUAAUCGAAUAAAAUUUGAUUAUUUUAAAAUUUAGUUUUUUGCCUCCAAAUUGCAUCUCCAGUAUCUAAAUGGACCAGAGGCUCAAAAACAAUUUCUAUCAUUAAACAUGUGAGAUCCAGUUAAAAUAUACAAUAAAUUUAUGUAUUUUUAUAAAUUUAAAAUUUAAUCUUUAUACUAUUUUUUUUAUGGAAGUUAGUUUGACUAUUUUCUAGAUUUCAAAAGUCAACUCCAAUUAUUAAUAAGAUUAAUUUUUUAUUAAAUUUAUGAGUGUGACAGUAUGAAAUAAAUAAAGAAAUAAAAAUUCACCUAGCAAUCAUGUAAUUAAAAAAAAUAAUAUUGUAAUGAAUGUGAAAUUAACAAAAUAAUUUAAACAGUGCUAAUAAAUAAACCUAAAUUUAAAAAUUUAAAAAGUAGAAGGAGUAAAUUGCUAAAAUUAAAUUUACAAAAACUAAUUUUGAAAUUUAUCAACAACACAUAUUUUAAACAUUAUCACUUUGCAUGAUAAGAGGUUUAUGUGGAAAAAGAUGGAAAGCGAAAUCAUAUUUCCCACUAUAUAUGAUUAGUGACUAUUUAUGUGUCCCAUACCUUGGGUUUAAUGGUCCAUUAUUUGUACACCAUUAAAAACACCAAUAGUUUGAUUUUUCAAGCUACCUAAUCAUCUACUUCAUGAAAUUGUAUCAUUUUCUCAUUGGCUAUAGAAAAAUAUCAUAACUGUGAUGGUUUACCAUUAUAUAUUCAUAUUAAGAUGAGCUUGUUAGCAUAAGAUUUGAGUAGUCUAAAUGGAUUACUCACUGAUAACCAAGUCCAAGUGUACCGAUGAAGAAGAUCCCACCACUCGAAAACCCGAAUACGAUCGACUAAACAAAUUGAAAUCUUUCGAUGAAACAAGAGCUGGUGUAAAAGGACUUGUUGAUUCUGGAAUCAAACAUGUUCCAAGGAUGUUUCAUCAUCAAUUCGAGAAUAACUCAGUUUCAUGUGGCAUACAGGUUAGUAUUGUUAACAUUAUGAUUAAUGGCAGACAAUUUUAAUGGAAAACAAUCCAAGUGGUGCAAGUUUAGCACCCUAAAGUUGACUUUAAAAAAGUGGCAUGGGAUAAUUUUUUUUUGGUCCUUGAGAUAAUGGGCUAUUUAUUGUUUGGUCCUUAAACCUCAACUAUAAAUAGGCAUUCUCAUUUCUCAUUUCAAUCAUCCCAACCAAUCUUUCUCUCUUAGUUUUCUCUCUUCUCCCAUUUGAGAAUUCUUAAGGAAUUCUAUUUGUUUGUAAUACUUUGGAGAUAGUAAAGUUAUCAUCUGGUGUUAGUGCCCGAGGACGUAGGUAUAAUUUACCGAACCUCGUUAAAUCUCUUGUGUUCUUUCUUGUCCUAUUUUUCUUUCAAUAUUUGAGGGUAUAAUAGUAGUAUUUAAUUGUGCUAUUAAAUUACUAUAGAAGGGAUAUUCUGUCUAAGGAAAGACUUGGUAUUUAAGAGAUCCAUGUGAUCCACCUCUCUUCCCUGGGAAUUGAACUUUGUGUGAUUUUUUAGUACAAUAAUUUACACGCUUCCGACCCUAUUGGAACAACAAGUGGUAUCAAGAGCCGAAGGUUAAUCGUAGUAUGCUCUGUGGUUGCAGUUUAAACUGAUCUUCCACAUCAGAAAAUAUUUCCUUAGGUAUAUUGAAAGAUUAUGGAGAAAACGGUCGGUGUAGGAGCUUCAACAUCGUCCAUGUGGACAAGACCGACAAUUGCAAAUGCAAGAUUGGCCGUGAAGAUCUUUGAUGGCACGGGCCAUUUUGGUAUGUGGCAAAGUGAGGUUUUAGAUGCCCUUUUUCAGCAGGGUCUAGACAUUGCCAUUGAUGAAGAGAAACCAGAUGAUGUACAGGAGAAAGAUUGGAAGGCGAUCAAUCGGUUGGCAUGUGGCACAAUUCGAUCAUGCCUUUCUCGAGAGCAGAGGUAUGCUUUUUCAAAGGAGACUUCUGCAAAUAAAUUGUGGGUGGCCCUUGAAGAAAAUUUUUUGAAGAAAAACAGUCAAAAUAAGCUCCACUUGAAGAAAAGACUGUUUCGCUUCACAUACGUCCCAAGUACCACAAUGAAUGAUCACAUCACCAAAUUUAAUCAGUUAGUCACUGAUUUGCUGAAUAUAGAUGAGACAUUCAAAGAUGAAGAUUUGGCUUUGAUGCUGUUGGGGUCACUUCCUGAGGAGUUUGAGUUCCUAGAAACUACUCUACUUCAUGGCAGGAGUGAUAUAUCUCUGAGCGAAGUCUGUGCGGCCUUAUACAGUUAUGAACAGAGAAAGAAUGACAAACAGAAAAAUUCAAUCAGAGAUACAGAAGCUUUAGUAGUCCGAGGUCGUUCAUACACUCGGAAGAAAACUCAAAAGGGGAGAUCAAAGUCAAAGUCCAGACUCGGGAAAGAUGAAUGUGCCUUUUGUCAUGAGAAAGGCCACUGGAAGAAAAAUUGUCCAAAGCUGAAGAAUAAGGGAAAAGCUGCUGUAGAUGCUUGUGUUGCAAAGCAUGAUACUAGUGACUCUGAACUAUCAUUGGUUGCAUCAUCAUCGUCGUUCCAUUCAGAUGAGUGGAUAUUGGAUUCGGGUUGUACCUAUCAUAUGUCCCCUAACCGGGAGUGGUUCUCUGAUUUAGUAGAACUAAAUGGAGGAGUUGUUUAUAUGGGCAAUGACAAUGCCUGUAAAACUGUUGGGAUAGGUUCAAUCCAAUUAAAGAAUCAAGAUGGAUCAACCAGAGUUCUGACUGAUGUUCGAUACAUCCCAGUUUGAAGAAAAAUCUCAUCUCAUUGGGAGCCUUGGAAUCCAAUGGUUCUGUUGUUACUAUGAGAGAUGAGAUUUUGAAAGUGACAUCUGGUGCACUUGUGAUAUUGAAGGGCAUCAGGAAAAAUAACUUGUAUUACUACCAAGGUAGUACAGUUAUUGGAGCAGUCGCUGCAGCUUCCGGCAACAAAGAAUUGGACUCAAUACAGUUGUGGCGUAUGAAGUUGGGACAUGCCAGCUAAAAAUCCUUGCAAAUUCUGGCAAAGCAAGGAUUGUUGAAAGGUGCAAAGGCUUGCAAAUUAAAAUUUUGCGAGCAUUGUGUUCUGGGAAAGUAAAAGAGAGUGAAAUUCGGCACUGCUAUCCAUAAUACAAAAGGUAUUUUAGAAUAUGUUCACUCAGAUGUGUGGGGGCCUUCCAAGACACCUUCAUUGAGAGGAAAACACUACUUUGUUACUUUUGUUGAUGACUUUUCCAGAAGAGUUUGGGUGUAUACCAUGAGAACUAAGGAUGAAGUGCUUAGAGUUUUUCUUAAAUGGAAAACUAUGAUCGAAAAUCAGACUGGCAAGAAAAUCAAGCGGCUUAGGACGGACAAUGGAGGGGAAUAUAAAAGUGAUCCGUUCUUCGAUGUGUGCCAAGAGUAUGGUAUUGUUCGACACUUCACAGUUAGGGAUACACCACAGCAGAAUGGAUUAGCAGAGCGUAUAAAUCGAACAUUGCUGGAGAAAGUUCGAUGUAUGUUGCCCAAUGCUGGGUUGGGCAAGCAAUUUUGGGCUGAGGCUGUGACAUACGCUGGCCAUCUUGUUAAUCGUUUGCCAUCAUCUGCAUUAGAAAGAAAAACUCCUAUGGAGGUAUGGUCUGGAAAACCGGCUACAGAUUAUGAUUCCUUACAUGUGUUUGGAUCCACUGCAUAUUACCAUGUGAAGGAGUCAAAGUUAGAUCCGAGGGCAAAGAAAGCUCUCUUUAUGGGAAUCACUUCUGGAGUGAAGGGAUUUCGUCUUUGGUGCUUAAGCACAAAGAAAAUGAUCUGUAGUAGAGAUGUUACCUUUGAUGAAUCUGCCACAUUGAAAAAGGUAGCAGAUAAAGAUAUUCAGACGAGCAAUACUCCACAGCAGGUGGAGUGUACUCCAAAACAGGUGGAGUUUGAGCAGAUGGGGAUUUGCCCAGUUAAUAAGUCUAAUUCUCCAGCCACAAUGGAGGAAUUAGAGGUUGAAGAGGUUCUGACCCAAGAACCACUAAGUACACCAGAACCAGUUGCAGUUGCAAGGCCACGGAGAGAAAUUCGUAAACCUGCUCGAUUUACUGAUAUGGUGGCCUACGCCCUUCCCGUUGUUGAUGAUAUUCCUAUCACUUAUCAAGAAGCAAUGCAAAGCUUAGAAAGUGAUAAAUGAAAAAGCGCAAUGGAUGAAGAAAUGCAGUCUCUCCUGAAGAACAAUACUUGGGAAUUGGCGCAAUUACCGAAAGGUAAAAGGGCAAUCGGAUGCAAGAGGGUAUUCGCAAAGAAAGAUGGAUCUCCUAGCAAGAAGGAUAUUCGCUACAAAGCAAGAUUGGUAGCUAAAGGCUACGCUCAGAAUGAGGGAAUUGACUACAAUGAUGUAUUUUCCCCUAUUGUGAAGCAUUCCUCCAUUAGAAUUUUGUUGGCCUUGGUAGCACAGUUGAAUUUGGAACUAGCUCAACUUGAUGUUAAGACGGCUUUCUUACAUGGUGAGUUAGAAGAGGAGAUCUAUAUGACUCAGCCCGAAGGAUACACAGAUGCUGGUGGUAGAAAUUGGGUUUGUAAGCUGAACAAAUCGCUAUAUGGAUUGAAGCAAUCCCCGAGGCAGUGGUACAAGCGAUUUGAUAGCUUUAUGAGAAGGCAGAAGUACACAAGAAGCAAAUAUGACAAUUGUGUAUAUUUGCAGAAGCUGCAUGACGGAUCUUUCAUUUAUCUACUCUUGUAUGUUGAUGAUAUGUUAAUCGCUUCGAAGAGCCAAAAUGAGAUAGAUAAGCUGAAAGCUCAGUUGAAUCAAGAGUUCGAGAUGAAAGAUCUAGGUGAGGCCAAGAAGAUUCUCGGCAUGGAGAUAAGUAGAGAUAGACCGAGAGGCAAGCUCUGUUUAAAUCAGAAGCAAUAUCUGAAAAAGGUAUUACAAUGUUUUGGUGUAAAUGAAAACACAAAACAUGUAAGUACCCCACUUGCUUCUCAUUUGAAACUUAGUGCUCAAUUAUCUCCGAAAACUGAAUAAGAAAGAGAAUAUAUGGUAAAAUUCCCAUAUGCUAAUGCAGUUGGGAGUUUGAUGUAUGCGAUGGUGUGUACGAGGCCUGACAUUUCACAAGCUGUUGGAGUUGUGAGCAGGUAUAUGCAUGAUCCUGGAAAAGGACAUUGGCAAGCUGUGAAAUGGAUUCUACGGUAUCUUCGAAAAACCGUAGAUGUUGGUUUAAUUUUUGAACAAGAUGAAGCACUUAGUCAGUUUGUAGUUGGAUAUAUUGAUUUCGACUUUACUGGUGAUUUAGAUAAACGUCGUUCAACUGCGGGGUAUCUGUUUACUCUUGCGAAAGCCCCAGUGAGUUGGAAGUCUACCUUACAAUCUACAGUAGCUGUGUCUACUACAGAGGCAGAAUAUAUGGUAGUUACAGAAGCUGUUAAGGAGGCUAUUUGGCUUAAUGGAUUGUUGAAAGACUUAGGAGUUGUUCAAAGUCACAUAAGUUUAUAUUGUGACAGUCAGAGCGCUAUUUAUUUAGCGAAAAAUCAAGUCUAUCAUUCAAGAACCAAGCAUAUCGACGUAAGAUAUCACUUUGUGCGGGAAGUCUUUGAAAAAGGAAAAAUUCUACUUCAGAAGAUUCUAACAGCAGAUAAUCCCGCAGAUAUGAUGACCAAGGUGGUAACAACAAUCAAGUUUAAUCAUUGUUUGAACUUGAUUAACAUCCUGAGAAUUUGAGCACCUUCAGGUGUAUGGCGCUCGAGAGUGCAUUUGGAGGCACUACAAAAGAUAGCUUUAUCAAAUUUGGGGAGUUGAAGGAAGUGUGUGAAGAUGUGAUUAUCCUAAUCAAAUCUUCAAGGUGGAGAUUGUUAACAUUAUGAUUAAUGGUAGACAAUUUUAAUGGAAAACAAUCCAAGUGGUGCAAGUUUAGCACCCUAAAGUUGACUUUGAAAAAGUGGCAUGGGAUAAUUUUUUUUUUGGUCAUUGAGAUAAUGGGCUAUUUAUUGUUUGGUCCUUAAACCUCAACUAUAAAUAGGCCUUCUCAUUUUUCAUUUCAAUCAUCCCAACCAAUAUUUCUCUCUUAGUUUUCUCUCAUCUCCCAUUUGAGAAUUCUUAAGGAAUUCUAUUUGUUUGUAAUACUUUGGAGAUAGUAAAGUUAUCAUCUGGUGUUAGUGCCCGAAGACGUAGGUAUAAUUUACCGAACCUCGUUAAAUCUCUUGUGUUCUUUCUUGUCCUAUUUUUCUUUCAAUAUUUGAGGGUAUAAUAGUAGUAUUUAAUUGUGCUAUUAAAUUACUAUAGAAGGGAUAUUCUGUCUAAGGAAAGACUUGGUAUUUAAGAGAUCCAUGUGAUCCACCUCUCUUCCCUGGGAAUUGAACUUUGUGUGAUUUUUUAGUACAAUAAUUUACACGCUUCCGACCCUAUUGGAACAACAAGUAUUCCCAUUAUAGGCCUCGAAAAAGUGAAGCAAAAUCGAACUACUCGUGAAGAGAUCGUCGGGAAAGUUCGAAACGCGUCCAAGACAUGGGGAUUCUUUCAAGUACUUAACCAUGGGAUACCAAUGAAUGUCAUGGAGGAAAUGAAGGACGGUGCACGUAGGUUCUUCGAGCAAGACGUGGAGUCUAAAAGCCGAUUCUUCUCUCGGGAUUACACGAAACGAGUGGUUUACAAUUCAAAUUUUGAUCUUUAUAGCUCACCGGCAGCUAAAUGGAGAGAUACAGUUGUGUGUUCCAUGGCUCCUGAUCCUUCCAAACCAGAAGAAUUGCCUGCAGUUUUCAGGUACAUGAAAAUGUUCCUAUGACUCGUCAUUUUUCUUAAACGGACAUGACAUAACAUAAUUGUAUUCAAUUUGCAGGGAUAUAAUGCUUGAAUACUCGAAACAAGUAAUGAAUUUGGGGUAUUUGCUGUUUGAAUUACUGUCUGAAGCUUUUGGUCUGAACCCUGAUUACCUAAAAGACAUAGAUUGUGCUAAGGGACUGGUCAUGUUAUCCCAUUACUAUCCGAUCUGUCCGCAACCAGAACUGACUCUCGGUUCAAGCAAGCAUGCAGACAAUGGCUUCCUCACUAUUCUCCUACAAGACAAUGUUGGUGGUCUCCAAGUACUUCAUCAAAAUCAAUGGAUUAAUGUACCCCCAACUCCUGGGGCACUAGUCAUUAACAUUGGAGAUCUUUUACAGGCUAGUUAAUCUCAUUCUAACUCUUCAUUUUUCUUAAAACGUGUUCAUAUUCAACACCGUGACGCCAUCCCCUCCCCUCUUUUUGUCCUUCAGCUUAUAUCAAAUGACAGAUUUACAAGUGUGGACCAUAGAGUAGUAACAAAUUUAGUAAGUCCAAGAGUAUCAAUGGCAAGCUUUUUCACUACUGCUCUUGUACCAGAUACAAGAUUAUAUGGACCUAUUAAGGAGUUGCUAUCACAAAACAACCCUCCAAAAUACAAGGAAACUACUGUUAAUGACUUUAUUACAUACUUCAACUCAAAAGGUCUUAGUGGUACUUCACCAUUACCACAUUUCAAGCUCUCUAAACCUAGCCAUGGAGAUAAAUGAUGUUUAAUUGUAAUCUUAUUUUAUAAACCUAAGCUAUGUGUGCAAUAAUUUAUGUGAAUGUUGAAAUGGUGGGUUUACUAUAAAGUUUGAAAUGAUGGGUUUACUAUAAAGUUGAAUUUUCAUCAAUCACUGAAUGCUUUAUUUUUUGACUUUUUCCAUUUGCUGAUAAAUUGCUCUGAGGAAGAGCGUUCUAAUGGCGAAAUCAAAGCCCGAAUAUGACCGAAUUAGUGAACUGAAAGCUUUUGAUGAAACAAAAGCUGGUGUUAAAGGACUUGUUGAUUCUGGAAUUAAACAUGUUCCUCGGAUGUUCCAUUACAGACCAGAUAAGUUAGACAAGAACUCAUCUGUAUCUAAUGGUAUCCAUGUUAGUAUUCCGGUUAUUGACCUCGAAGGAGUGAAGGAAGAUCCAGGGACUCUUCGGAAUAUUGUCGACAAAGUUCGAAAUGCGUCAAAAUCUUGGGGCUUCUUCCAAGUUGUGAACCAUGGGAUUCCAUUGAGUGUCCUGCAAUAUAUGAAGGAUGGUGUUGUUCAGUUUUUUGAGCAAUAUUUGGAGGCGAAAAAGAAGUUCUUCACUCGGGAUUAUAGUACAAAAAAGGUGGCCUACAAUAGCAAUUUCGAUCUUUAUAGUUCACCAGCAGCUAACUGGAGAGAUACACUGUUCUGCCUUAUGGCUCCUAAUCCCCCCAUGCCACAUGAGUUGCCGGAGGUGUCCAGGUAUCUUAUUACAUAUGUGAAGUGUUUUGUUCUGGUUAUGACAAAGUUACAGAACUCCAGUUACCACCCUUCCGAAUCGAAUAACCGGAACAUGAUACAAAAGAGUCCACAUCACAGUGGUCCUACAUAGACUUUUAUUCAAUUGGUUUUUUAACCACAACCAAGUGAUAAAUUAGAGCCAUACUUAUUUACGUGCCCAAGUUGGAAACCUCAUAAUAUCUAGUGGUGUAUGUAUGUAUGUAUGUAUGUAUGUAUGUAUGUAUGUAUGUAUGUAUAUUCAAGUGUGUGUUUGUACAUAUGUAGGGAUAUAAUGAUGGAGUACUCAAAGCAAGUAAUGCAAUUGGGCUGCUUGCUACUUGAGUUACUCUCAGAAGCUCUAGGAUUGCAGCCUGAUCACCUAAAAGACAUGGGUUGCACUCAAGGUCUCGGCAUGUUAUCGCAUUAUUACCCUGCUUGUCCACAACCAGAACUCACUCUCGGUACAACAAAGCACUCCGACAACGACUUCCUCACCGUGCUCCUACAAGACCAUAUUGGUGGACUCCAAAUCCUUCACCAAAACCAAUGGGUUGACGUACCCCCAACUCCCGGUGCACUAGUCGUUAACAUUGGCGACCUUCUACAGGCAAAGCUUUUUAUCUUUUAAGAAUAACUGCAUGAGCCAAUUAGGAUAAACUUGGUUUUGCAACUAAUUCGACAUUCUAAUGAUGUUUUUUUUUUGCAGCUAAUAUCAAAUGAUGGUUUUAGAAGUAUGGAGCAUAGGGUAGUGGCAAAUUGUGUAGGACCAAGAGUAUCAGUGGCCUGCUUUUUCAGUAUAUUUUUUUUGCCAGAUUUAAGAACUUAUGGACCUAUUAAGGAGUUAAUAUCAAAAGAAAAUCCUCCAAAAUACAGGGAAGUCACCAUGAGGGAAUAUGCUGGUUAUUACAAUGCAAAAGGCCUUGAUGGUACCUCUGCCAUGCUGCAUUUCAAGCUCUAAACAUGGCCAUGGAGUUUCCAUUACUUAUAGAACUUAUGAACCCUUUAUAUAGCAUAAGCAUUGUUGAUACCAUGUGUGUUGUUUCUAGUGUUCUUUGGGUGCUAAAGCUAUAGUUGUUUAUAAUUUCUUGUUGGUGAUAUGUUAUGAUGGUUAAAUUCUGCUAUUAAAUCUCAUAUUUUAUGUAUUUUGUGGAUUUAAUACUUGUGUUUAAAUUUGAUUAUUUCAGUCCCUAUAUUUUUAGAAUUUUAAGAUUUUAGUUUUAAUUAAAUGAUAACUAUUAAAUUAAUUAAAUUAUGUUAUCUUUAAAACUUAAUCCGUAGUAGCUAAAAUAAAUGAUUUAAUUUAAUUUAAUAUGUUAUCAUAAAAUUAUUUUUUAACAAUUUAAUUAUAUGAUUAUAUUAGUUGUGCUUCAAAGUUUCAAAUCUAUCUGAUGUUUAAAUUAUAUUAUCAGUUAAUAAUAUGGAGUUUAUCCGUACAUGAUUAAUGGGUGUCGAAUCCACCAAUAUAAACCUACGCUUAAUUUGCGAUUUCAGUAGUAUAGGGAGUAGGGUCGAUCCCUCAAAGACUGGGUUUACUGUAAAUUGUUGCUCUCUUGACUAGAUUUAUGUCGGGGCAGCUGUCGCGCCCAAGAAAUUUGGGGGAUGAAAUUUGAAGACCUGAAAUAAACAGAAAAAUAACGUAAAAAGUAAAAGUUGAAAACAGAAUAAUAAAAACAGUGAAAUAAAUAUGAAGAAAAAUUAAUUAGAAUAAGCUCAGCCUUAGGCACAGAUUUUUCCUCGUCUUUGAACCGAUCCUCGAAAUUAGAUGAACUCUUCUUUUCCAAUAAGCUAGUUAUAGCUACCAAGGACGCCUCGGACACCAACUCUUCCUUGUGUAAAUUAGUUAUGGAACGUCCAACAACUAACCCUUACCGAUCGAACAACCACGAAACGUUCGUGAUUUAGAACUCCAGCAGCUUUGCGUUCUAGAAGAGCCUAGCUCGAACCAAUACCCUCAACCGCGUGGGAUAUUUAAAUCCGGUUACUACUUCCCUUGACGGAACCAAACAACAAUCUCCACUUGGCACGCCAAUGUGUUCACAGAAAACCGAUUAAAAACGU